CAGUCGCCGCGGUAAUACGAAGGGUGCAAGUGUUACUCGGAAUUACUGGGCGUAAAGCGUGCGCAGGCGGUUCGUUAAGACAGAUGUGAAAUCCCCGGGCUUAACCUGGGAACUGCAUUUGUGACUGGCGGGCUAGAGUAUGGCAGAGGGGGGUAGAAUUCCACGUGUAGCAGUGAAAUGCGUAGAGAUUUGGAGGAAUACCGAUGGCGAAGGCAGCCCCCUGGGCCAAUACUGACGCUCAUGCACGAAAGCGUGGGGAGCAAACAGGAUUAGAUACCCCUGUAGUCCCUGUCUCUUAUAC
rnacentral:rRNA from 1 species